CCAUGAUAAAAACGAAAGCUCAGCCGCUCUGAAAUCAAAAUAUUUUUUCUUCUUCUCGACUUUAUAUACUUCCAAACGCUUGAAAAGAAGAUGCUUUCCAAAUUUUAAACAUCAUUUAUCCUUGUUCUCGCUAUGGCACUGCACAAAUCCGAAGUUGAGAAGUAUAUUAGCAAAAUUGAAGGACGUUUGAACAGCCCACAUGAGGUACAACGCAAUGAUAUAAAUUUGUAUAUGUAUGGUGGCGCGAAAUAAUAGUUUGAGUGAAUUAUUAAUUCUUAAAUUAUAUUAUUAAUGUUUGAUCUUUCAGCGAAAUUUAAAAGGUUUAGCUUUUGCUGAGCUGUAUAGAAAAGCUAGAGAAUUUGAAUUGGCAAAAAGGUGAGCAAGUUAUAAUGAAAGUUAUAAAGUUAUAUAAAAUAAUCAACUUUCCCUGUGGGAGGAAACCAGACUACCUGGAGAAAACCCAUGACCACAGUAUAGGAAAAGUACAGUAGGGCCACUCAGCGUAAAAAAGUGUCUACAUUGUUUACUGGCUGCCAACCUAAUUUACAUAUUGGCAGCCAGUAAACGGCAGCAGUCCACUAUAAAAUUGUACUACAGAAUAAUGAUUUUAGCCGCGUAAGACACCUGGAACCUAGCUUAAAUAAUUGCCACUUUUCUCUCCCCCAAGUGGCCCUACUGGUUGUCUCCCUAUACUGUGCCAUGACUUUCGGCAGAGCGUUGACUUGUACUCUUUCCAUAUGAAGACUGGGUUCGAGUCCUGUUGAGAAAGUUCUCACUGGGGCUUGAACCUGGCAAGUGCGCUAACCACUUUGCCACCGAAGCCCCAAUUUUAACCCUUUAAGUGGCAAUGCAUGGCCUGAUGCACCCUACUUUAGUAUUUUACUCUGUCUAACACCAGAUGAUUUUACUCGUCAAGUGGAGAGUGCUGCCACUCAAUGGGUUAACCAGCCAAUCAACUUUUCAUAGCAAUUGUUACUAAGGACCCGAUUGGCUGUUUAAAAUUAAAAAUGUAGGUGUUUGGUUGUCAACAUUUGUGGGCAUGAAUUUUUAAUGUGAAUGAAAUUUUCAUGUGUUCCACACACUUUGGUGAUCCGUAAUAAUAUGCCAAAACUAGUGUUAUGUCAACACAUGGCUUGAAAUAACAGCUGAUCAUCAAUCAAUGACCGGCAAGAACUUGUUUAUAAUUGGCGGCUGGGAAAACAGGGUAUUGAACCAGAAAAAGCAGGGAAAGUCAUAACUGUCGAUCACCAAGAUUGGGAACUUUAGGAACCUAUUUCAAGCCCUGCAAUUCCACACCCAAGAUUUUCAAACUUUAUCAACAGAAUGCACCAUGAUAGUAUGUAUAUUAUACAAAAGAAAAAUCUGACAGUUUUAUUCCUAUGUUAAUAUGCACACAAGAACAAGGGGGAAUUUCGUUCUCGACCAAUCAGCGCUUUUGUUUACAUUUUUGCCCUAAGCCAAUCAGAAUGCGUAAAACGCUUCAUCACAUGAAAUUUGUAAACAAACAUAUGGGGUUACUUCAGAGCUUUUCUGCAAGCGGUUUUUUUGUUUUUUGCCAUGAAGCUCAUAUACUUUGUUCUUAAAAGAAUUCUCCUCAACUUCCUCGUGGCGAUUUUUGAUUAAUUGCGUGAUUGCGAAGAUAUGGGUCUUCAAACUUUGCCUUGCGCAAGCUUAAAUACCACCCCUCGAAUUUGUAGGUUCCGAACGGAUUAGCGUUUAUAAAGCCUUUCAAAUCGAGGUUUGAGAGGUUUUAUUUUUUAAAAGAUACUUUUAUCUUCAUAUUUUCACAUUAACUUAUUAAUAUCCUGUGUAACAAGUAAACAGGGCAUUUCCGAGCCGGGACAAGUUGACAUGUCGAUUUCUUGCCAAACAGCGUGGCGAUCAAUAUGGCAAAUAUCUAAAUACAGGGAAUUUUUAAAAUUUUGUUGGUAUAAAUGGGAUAAAGAAGCUCAUCAAAUAUUUGGACUAUGGACCUUCAAACUUAUGCCAAGUAUUUAUUUGAUUGAUUAGCUCAAUAACUGACAGUUAUUGGCUCGUUUUUCGUCGAUUUCGACAUUUAGUCGAGCUUAGUCGACUUCAAAAUAAUGUGUCAACAUUGCGUGUUGCAGCCUGUGGAUAUGAAUAUUUUCGUUUGUUUGACAAUAACACUUGUCUUCAUUGGUUUUAAUCCUUGAUUGACAAUAUAUUCAUUGGUCUCAGAGUCCUAAACUUAAGGAAGAUGGAUGACAUUGGGACAGAAUGAUUUUGUUCAAUGUUGCUGUUCAGGUAUCAAAAUUUAUGGAUAUAUACCUGUAUAUGAACUUCAUUGUUUUUUUACUUCAUCUGGCUCACUUGUCACAAUUGGGCUCUGUUCAUAUUACCUGGCUAGGUGGGAGACGACAUUUGCCAGUAUGUUCUAUCCUAUCCUGCUACUAUCGGCCUAGCUAAGCGUGAGGUUUCCAUUGCCAGAAUCCUGGCUAUAUGUAAGCCAAGAAAUUCACCAUAUAUACAAUAAGGAUCAAUAAGCACUGUAUACCAAACAGGCAACAUGAAUUAGGCUUCAAGCAUGUGUUCUGGAUAGUCUAGAUCAUAUAAACAGGUCCCCAAUAGAUCCCGAUCUACUAUAAUUGAAACAUUUUAGUCCAUAAAUUUGUGCAUUACCAGAAUACCUGUGCACAAAUGAAUAUUUUACACAUAUUAUAUAAUGCAAUCCAAUAUUAAGCCCCCAGUAACCUCACAAUUAGGCCUCCCUUCCAAAAAUUAGAUCUCCCUUCCAAAAAUAAGCUCUCCCUGUUAAGGGCUGUCAAAAUGGGCCAUGCUAGCCCAGCAAACAUGGCUGGAUUUUCUUUUCAGGACUAGUUUGUCAUUUGCCUCACAGGAGCCAGGCUAACCUGGCAACUGUUGUCAAGAAAUUUGUGUGAAAUGCUGGUUAAUUUGUUAAUGACAACAGCUUCAGAAGGCUUAUAUUAAUCAAUUUCUUAUUUACUUGGGCCAAAUUGUGUAUUAUAACAUGAUUUUUAGUCGAGUGAGCUGGUUGGCCAGCUUAUGACCUUUAUUAGUGUGAGACUCCCAAUGCAGGAUAUCAACUUGCUCAAGCAAAUGUUGGGCCAAUAAAUUCAACCAGGUUGUUUCAUGUGAAUGCAAUCUCAAACAUAUAUAAAAUUAAUAUACGAGGCAGUAUCUUACCAUGGGCAGGUGUAUAUUUAGCCCAUAUAAAUGGGCAAGACCAGCUUGCAUGCCCAGUGUGAUAUUAUACUACUGACAAUACCUGGUUGAUUCUACAAGGUUAUGGCCUAAAAUGUUCCAAUUGUAGUUUCAGGAUCUGCUAAGGGUCUGUCGAUAUGAUCUGGGCUAGGCCCUGGUUGGGGGGAUAGAAUGUUUACUGUAAAUGGUGAAUUUCUUGGCUUGCAUAGUUGGGAUUCUGGCAACGGAUACCUUGUGCUUAGCCAGGAUAGUAGCAGGAUAGUAUAUCGGCAAUACUGGCAAAUGUUGUCUCCUGCCUAGCCAGGUCAUACGAACAGGCCCCAUUUGUGACUAGUGGGCCAGAUUAAGGAAGAAACAAUGAGGGUCCUAUGACUAUGCUCUGUGACUAUAUAUGUCCAUAAAUUUUGAUAUCUGAACAAAAUUUUGAUAUCUGUCCCAAAGUCAUCCAUCUUCCUUAAGUUUAGGACUCUGCGACCAACUGAAUAUAUUGUCAUUCAAGGAUUAAAAACAGUGAAGAAAAGUGUUAUGGUCAAACAAACGAAAAUAUUCAUAUCCACAGGCUGCAACACGCAAUGUUGACACAUUAUUUUGAAGUCGACUAAAUUGUCGAAAUCGACGAAAAACGAGCCAAAAAACAGUUAUUGAGCUAAUCAAUCAAAUAAAUACUUGGCAUAAGUUUGAAGGUCCAUAGUCCAAAUAUUUGAUGAGUUUCUUUAUCCCAUUUAUACCAACAAAAUUUUAAAAAUUCCCUGUAUUUAGAUAUUCGCCAUAUUGAUCGCCACGCUGUUUGGCAAGAAAUCGACAUGUCAACUUGUCCCGGCCCGGAAAUGCCCUGUUUAGUUGUUACACAGGAUAUUAAUAAGUUAAUGUGAAAAUAUGAAGAUAAAAGUAUCUUUUAAAAAAUAAAACGUCUCAAACCUCGAUUUGAAAGGCUUUUAAAAACGCUAAUCCGUUCGGAACCUACAAAUUUGAGGGGUGGUAUUUAAGCCUGCGCAACGCAAUGUUUGAAGACCCAUAUCUUCGCAAUCAAGCAAUUAAUCAAAAAUCGCCACGAGGAAGUUGAGGAGAAUUCUUUUAAGAACAACAUAUAUGAAUUUCAUGGCAAAAAAACAAAAAAACGCUUGCAGAAAAGCUCAGAAGUAACCCCAUAUGUUUGUUUACAAAUUUCAUGUGAUGAAGCGUUUUACGCAUUCUGAUUGGCUUAGGGCAAAAAUGUAAACAAAAGCGCUGAUUGGUCGAGAACGAAAUUCCCCCUUGUUGCACACAAGUAGUUUUGUCAUUGAUCAUGACUGUUGCAAUUACUAAUAAUGUAUUUAUAAUUACAUGUAAAUAAUAAUUAUAAAUACAAUAUAUUUGUAACAAAUUUGCAAAUUCAUUUUAAUAAUUUAAUCAAGAGAAAAAUGUGCCAUUAGAACAGCUAAAUUGUUGCAGAUUUAAAACUUUUGGCAGCAAGCAGUAACAUUAGAUACAACCUAUUGUAACAAUUAGUGACCUCAAUCACAAACAUGUUGCUAACCCUAAAUGUAUGUUUAUCCACAAAACAUAUGAAUGGUACAUUAAAAAAAAAAUACAGACUCCACACAUGAAAUUUCUACUGUUCAGAGGGGGACGGCAUAAAAUCCACUUAUGAGUAUAGGAAUAUGCAAUACUGUAGGACAUCCAAAAAGGAGAGAGGAAUGGUUCCCAGUAGAAGGUGGCACCUGGCAGACGAUUACAUUUCUCAAAUGACAACCCAAAUUGUUAUACAGUUAGUGUCAAAGUUCAAUUUUUCUGUUUGCCGAUUGGUCAAACCGUGUCACGUGCCGGUCCACAAAACAUCAUGUUCGGCAACCGGUCCGCAAUGAAACAUUUAUUGACCGGUCAAUAAUAAAAUGGGUGCAAUACGCAUGCGUGCAUAUCAACCAUGAAGUUCCAAAGUUCAUUUUUUAAACUUUUUACAAAACAUUUACGGCGUUCUAUUUAUCCAGUUUUGGUUUCAAAUUAAGUUCACGCCAAUAAUCGGUGAAUUAUUCAUACUUUGACACUUAUAUACUAUAUAACAAAACACUUAUUUACUGAGACCUUGGGAAAGCAGUGUGUUUUGUGGCCCCUCGACCGCCGUUGUUGCCCUCGGCUUUGCCUCGGGCAACAACAGCGUUCUCGGGUCCACAAAACACACUGUUUCCCUUAGUCUCAGUAAAUAAGUGAUAAGUAUUUCCUUCUCACCAUAUAACUGUGAAAGGAAAGUUUCUUGCUUUCAUAACAUAAAUUUUACACAAUAUUUGUCCUCAACUAUUUGGAUAAUAUGACAAAAUCUCCAAAACUAUUCUCUAAAAUGACUUAGUUGAAAUGCAAUUUGGGAAUUGUCCACCCAAGAUUAAAUAAUAAACUAUGGAAACCAUCAAAAUUGUGCAUCUGAUACAAAGUACGAAUCAACAGCUCUCAGGGUUUGUGAAGUAAAUGUCAUACAAAAUGUGCUCUUCCCUUGAUGAGUAAAAUACAGUAGAAUAAUAAAGUAAGGUAAGGUGCAUUGGGGCACAAAGCAAUUACUUAAUGGGUUAAAUCUAUGUUUAAUUAAUGACAGUCAGGGGUCGAAAUUUAAUUUUUUUUGUACUAUACAGCCAGAAUAGUAGAUUAUGAAAUUUACUAUUCCGUCUGAAAAUCCACUAUUCCUUAAUGUACUGUACUGUUUGUCUGUUUCUGAGAGCCUGUUCAUGCAGGGUCCGCGUUAAUGUUCUGAUUUUCGUAAAAUCAUCCUUGAGACUCCCAAAAUGAACUUCAAUAAUUGAAUAACAAAAAAUAUACAUGUACAGUUAUCUGAUGGUACAAAUAAAAAACGAUCUAUUCGACUUAUUUGCCACAGUCGGAUGAGCAAGACAAAAUUCACAAAACAUUUUGUCAAGUUCACUUUUUGUUAUUGUCCAAUUUUUGGAGCUUGGCUGACGGUUCUCUGCGCCCGAUACAUACCGCCGCAUUUUGUAUAACGUUUUAGUCAAUCAUAUAAAAACUAGACGCUAAAGUUGUUUUUGACGACAGGGCAGGCCCGCGCCAGUUUGUCAUGUUAUUGUAGCAAAGUUAAUUAUAAUAAGUUAAUAUUGCUGCAAAGAAAUUAGAAUACGCAAGUACUGCAAGCGAACAAGAACUUUGCUACGAAGUGGAACAGUGGCUCAAAGUCCGGUAUAAAGUGAUAUAUUAUACAAGAGGAAAACUCUUGCUUGUCGAUAUUUGGUACCACAAUUUUUUAUACUAUACAAACAGAAUACCAUGAUCAUGAAGUUUAGUAUAUUCGGAAUAGUGGGAAUUUCGACCCCUACGACAGUACAGUAUAUGAAACAGUAUAUAUCAAUUUAAUUUUCCACUUUGUUCAUGUAUAGGUAUACACUUGCCUACAUCAGUACAAACAGCAAUGACUACAG
rnacentral:lncRNA from 1 species